rnacentral:lncRNA from 1 species
UGCAAUUUGAGUCGCGAUGAGCUGCACGCCACGCUGCAGUUUUUGAGCUGGCCAAAUCACUUGUCACCGUCCUGGCCAAAGCACCAAACCCCCUGGCAUACGUUUCUGAGCUGCACCAUAGCGGGUGACCACCUGCCCCCGUAAAGGAGAGCACCCUAGAGCAGUGCACUUCUCUCCCACCACCGGGGAACUGCAACGAGUUGAGGAGAGAGCUGCUUCUGGAGGCACGUUGAUGCCAGCCACCCAUAGUAGCAAACUGCACUAUGCACACAAACCAAGCUAAAGUCAAAAUCUGGGAAACACACAAUUGAAUUGCUCACCGCAUUGCAUCAUCGACAAAUUCUGAACAAUUAUUUUUCUGAACUAAAGGGCAACGCUCCACCACCUGAAGGACACUACACGAGCUGCCUCGCCGCCACAACCGUGCUACACGCGCGCGCAUGCCGAACUGCAUCACCAUGCUGCCCCAUCAUGGAUCCAUGACAGAGGGAGGAGUUGAGAUCCCACGGCUAGAGCAAGUCCUCACUAGGAGGCUCUCCCAUUGCUUAGCUGUAGAGAAGCUCGGUAGAGGAAGGUAGAUGGCCUCCUGGUUCCUGCACAUCAUGGUAGAGAUGUGAUUUUCUCCCCGAAGCCUAAAUGCUCGUCGGAUCCAUGACGCGGAGAAAAAGAGUCAACGAGAUCUCACCAUCCACGAAUCCAUGAACGGGAGGUGAACUGCGUUUGGGGGAGAGCUGAUGUGGGCGCAGUGCACGGAGGGAUCCUCGUCGCACAGCAGAGUGGCAGAGCAGGGGAAGGGAUGGUGGAGCUUGGCGUUGGUGGUGGCCGUCGGUGGAGAAGGUCUCGUGCACCACCAGUGGAUUGCAUGACACCCGCACAUCCUGUGUCCUUCUCCUCUCGGCCGGAUCUCCUCCUGUGGACUGCACGUGGUAAAGCUCCUCCUCCUCCUCUCAGCCGGGUCUCCUCGAGCUCGCUGACGUCAACCACAUAAUGUGGACUGUGACGCCCAUGGAGCAGACUACACUGC